AUUCCUACGGGAGGCAGCAGUGAGGAAUCUUCCACAAUGGACGAAAGUCUGAUGGAGCGACACCGCGUGAAGGAUGAAGCCUUUGUUGGUGUAAACUUCUUUUCUCUGGGAAGAUAAUGACGGUACCAGAGGAAUAAGGGGCGGCAAACUUCGUGCCAGCAGCCGCGGUAAU
rnacentral:rRNA from 1 species